rnacentral:rRNA from 1 species
UUAGAUGUCCAGGGCUGCACGCGCGCUACACUGGAGGAAUCAGCGUGCUGUAACCAUUGCCGAAAGGCAUUGGUAACCCCUUGAAAAUCCUCCGUGAUCGGAAUCGGGAAUUGCAAUUAUUUCCCUUGAACGAGGAAUUCCUAGUAAAUGUGAGUCAUCAGCUCACGUUGAUUACGUCCCUGCCCUUUGUACACACCGCCCGUCGCUGCCCGGGACUGAGCCGUUUCGAGAAAAGCGGGGACCGCUAGUGUUUCAAUGCUUUUCGAGGUGGAGAUUCAUUGGUGGAAACCGCUUUAAUCGCAGUGGCUUGAACCGGGCAAAAGUCGUAACAAGGUUUCCGUAGGUGAACCUGCGGAAGGAUCA